GUCCCUGGGGUCGCCUCCCGCUGCACCGCCCCGUGCACUGCCCCCCAGGCCCCAGCGCAGGUUGGCGGCGACGACGACGAGAACCCACCUCGGAGAGACGCAGGGACGGGCCUGGGGGGCGGGGACCACGGCUGCGGCCCAGGCGCGGGUGCUAAGGCCUUUCCCGUCUGGCAGGACGCGCCUCCUUCCAGACCUGCAGGUCCCGGUUCGCCUCCCGCCCCCGGAGCAUCUCCGUUUCGUGCACGGAGACUGUUGACAUCCCCGUUAGGAUUAAAACACAAAUGACCAAGGUUGUAAACGGAGACCGCAGGUGACCGUGAAGCCAAGACCCCCGGUG
rnacentral:lncRNA from 1 species